UAGAUGGAUUCACACAUCCCAUAGACA
rnacentral:tRNA from 1 species